AUUGAACGCUGGCGGCAGGCCUAACACAUGCAAGUCGAGCGGGGUUUUCGGACCUAGCGGCGGACGGGUGAGUAAUGCGUAGGAAGCUACCCGAUAGAGGGGGAUACCAGUUGGAAACGACUGUUAAUACCGCAUAAUGUCUACGGACCAAAGUGUGGGACCUUCGGGCCACAUGCUAUCGGAUGCGCCUACGUGGGAUUAGCUAGUUGGUGGGGUAAUGGCUCACCAAGGCGACGAUCCCUAGCUGGUUUGAGAGGAUGAUCAGCCAAACUGGAACUGAAAAACGGUCCAGAUGCCGACGGGAGGCAGCAGUGGGGAAUAUGGGACAAUGGGCGCAAGUCUGAUCCAGCAAUGCCGCGUGUGUGAAGAAGGCCUUCGGGUUGUAAAGCACUUUCAGCGAGGAGGAAGGGAGUUGUGUUAAUAGCACAGCUUUUUGACGUUACUCGCAGAAGAAGCACCGGCUAACUCUGUGCCAGCAGCCGCCGUAACAC
rnacentral:rRNA from 1 species